CACGUAGGGCGCAAGCGUUGUCCGGAAUUAUUGGGCGUAAAGAGCUCGUAGGCGGUCUGUUGCGUCCGCUGUGAAAACUCGGGGCUUAACCCCGAGCCUGCAGUGGAUACGGGCAGACUAGAGGUAGGUAGGGGAGAAUGGAAUUCCCGGUGUAGCGGUGAAAUGCGCAGAUAUCGGGAAGAACACCCGUGGCGAAGGCGGUUCUCUGGGACGGUACUGACGCUGAGACGCGAAAGCGUGGGGAGCGAACGGG
rnacentral:rRNA from 1 species